rnacentral:rRNA from 1 species
GACGAACGCUGGCGGCGUGCUUAACACAUGCAAGUCGAGCGGCGCGGCGAACGGGCGAGUGACGCGUGAGUAACUGCCCCCCUCUCUGGGAUAACAGUUGGAAACGGCUGCUAGUACCUGAUAGUUGGGGAUGACUGGCGGCCUAUGAGCUUGUUGGGGGGGUGGCUGCCUACCAAGGCGACGACGGGUAGCCGGCCUGGGAGGGCGACCGGCCUCAAUGCGCUCCGAUACGGCGCAAACUCCUACGUGGGGCAGCAGUUGCGAAUAUUGCACAAUCGUGCCAACCCUGAUGCAGCAACGCCGGGUGCGGGAUGUCUUUCUACGGGUUUUAAACCGCUUUCAGCCAUGACGCGUUACUGGCAGAAGAAGCACCGGCUAACUACGUGCCAGCAGCCGCGGUAAUAC